rnacentral:rRNA from 1 species
UACAGAGGUCUCAAGCGUUGUUCGGAUUCAUUGGGCGUAAAGGGUGCGUAGGUGGCAUGGUAAGUCGGAUGUGAAAUCCCGGGGCUUAACCCCGGAACUGCAUUCGAUACUGCCAGGCUAGAGUACUGGAGAGGAGAUUGGAAUUUACGGUGUAGCAGUGAAAUGCGUAGAUAUCGUAAGGAAGACCAGUGGCGAAGGCGGAUCUCUGGACAGUUACUGACACUGAGGUGCGAAAGCGUGGGGAGCAAACAGG